rnacentral:rRNA from 1 species
GACGAACGCUGGCGGCGUGCUUAACACAUGCAAGUCGAACGGAAAGGCUCCAGCUUGCUGGAGUACUCGAGUGGCGAACGGGUGAGUAACACGUGGGUGAUCUGCCCUGCACUUCGGGAUAAGCCUGGGAAACUGGGUCUAAUACCGGAUAGGACCGCACUUUGGUGUGUGUGGUGGAAAGGUUUUUCUGGUGUGGGAUGAGCUCGCGGCCUAUCAGUUUGUUGGUGGGGUAAUGGCCUACCAAGACGGCGACGGGUAGCCGGCCUGAGAGGGUGGACGGUCACAUUGGGACUGAGGUACGGCCCAGACUCCUACGGGAGGCAGCAGUGGGGAAUAUUGCACAAUGGGGGAAACCCUGAUGCAGCGACGCCGCGUGGGGGAUGAAGGCCUUCGGGUUGUAAACUCCUUUCGCUAGGGACGAAGCUUUUUGUGACGGUACCUGGAGAAGAAGCACCGGCUAACUACGUG